CCUGGCUCAGGAUGAACGCUAGCUACAGGCUUAACACAUGCAAGUCGAGGGGCAUCAUGAGAUUAGCUUGCUAAUCUUGAUGGCGACCGGCGCACGGGUGAGUAACGCGUAUCCAACCUUCCCUAUACUAGAGGAUAGCCCGGCGAAAGUCGGAUUAAUACUCUAUGUUCUUCGUAGAUGACAUCUGAAAUGAAGCAAAGAUUUAUCGGUAUAGGAUGGGGAUGCGUCUGAUUAGAUAGUAGGCGGGGUAACGGCCCACCUAGUCGACGAUCAGUAGGGGUUCUGAGAGGAAGGUCCCCCACAUUGGAACUGAGACACGGUCCAAACUCCUACGGGAGGCAGCAGUGAGGAAUAUUGGUCAAUGGGCGAGAGCCUGAACCAGCCAAGUAGCGUGCCAGGAUGACGGCCCUAUGGGUUGUAAACUGCUUUUAUACAGGGAUAAAGUGAGGGACGUGUCCCUUUUUGUAGGUACUGUAUGAAUAAGGACCGGCUAAUUCCGUGCCAGCAGCUGC
rnacentral:rRNA from 1 species